AGGGAGCAGAUGGGUACAUGUUAUAGUAAAGCACAAAGGGCCUGGGAAGUCCACCCAGAAGGGAAAGGUACCAAAGAUCACAAUGAUCUGUUGACUCAUUAUCAGUGAUGUGUGGAGCAGAGCCAAUCUUGUGUUCAUUGAAAAAGAUGGCAGCUCUGCUGGGGAUCGGGCCUCCAUCUCCCAUUUUAUUGCUAAGAAAAAGAAAUGAAGAAAUCCGUACGGUAUACUUCUGGGUAUACUUCGGAAAAUGGGCUUAUGAAGAGUUUUAUUUUUUUGCCUCCAAAAGGCAUCACAAAUGUCAAGUUUUCCAGUGGAUUUUCCUGGACAAAGACCCUCCCUGAUCCUACUGUCUUCACUUCACAAACUCCCAUCUGGUGCAGCUGCAAAUGAUGGAAACUCCAAAGUGUGCUUGACAAUGAACAUGCAUGUUGUAGGUUCCAGGGAGUGAUUAUAAUUAUUUCU